rnacentral:rRNA from 1 species
UACAGAGGUCCCGAGCGUUGUUCGGAUUCAUUGGGCGUAAAGGGUGCGUAGGCGGCGGGGCAAGUCUGAUGUGAAAUCCCGGGGCUCAACCCUGGAACUGCAUUGGAUACUGCCUUGCUAGAGUACUGGAGAGGAAACUGGAAUUUACGGUGUAGCAGUGAAAUGCGUAGAUAUCGUAAGGAAGACCAGUGGCGAAGGCGAGUUUCUGGACAGUUACUGACGCUGAGGCACGAAAGCCAGGGGAGCAAACGGG